AGUGCAAUGAGACAGGCAGCGAAAUCCUUAGACAACAUUCUAAUCUUGAUUUCACUAAAGAAAACUGCAAAGAGAAAAUGAUUACCUUUAACAACAAUCACAUGGAGAGUGUUAUGGGGUGUUUCCAACCAAAAGAAUACGAGGGAAGCGGCGCUUCCAACGCUUCUAAUGACGGCACGCCACUGAUACAAAUGAUUUUAUUUAUAACAACUUUUACAAUCAAAGUACUCUUUUCAUUUACAGAAAUGCUUUAAAAACUGGACAGAUUUAAACAGUCUGAAGAUAUUAAAAUUUCAAUAAUUUGUUGAAUUUAAUUGCUGAAAAUUUGGUUUAGAUAAUGUUAAACAUUUAUAAAAUAAUUGUA